rnacentral:snoRNA from 1 species
AGUUAACACUCUGGGGCCAGUGAUUGAAACUGUUUGACACAAUUUGAACUUGAAGUCUAACUUAUUCUGGUAUUCUCUCCUUUCUGAGACAAGCCAUUGUAUAGAUUUAAACAUA